GAUGAACGCUGGCGGCGUGCCUAAUACAUGCAAGUCGAGCGAACAGACGAGGAGCUUGCUCCUCUGACGUUAGCGGCGGACGGGUGAGUAACACGUGGAUAACCUACCUAUAAGACUGGGAUAACUUCGGGAAACCGGAGCUAAUACCGGAUAAUAUAUUGAACCGCAUGGUUCAAUAGUGAAAGACGGUUUUGCUGUCACUUAUAGUUGGAUCCGCGCCGCAUUAGCUAGUUGGUAAGGUAACGGCUUACCACGGCAACGAUGCGUAGCCGACCUGAGAGGGUGAUCGGCCACACUGGAACUGAGACACGGUCCAGACUCCUACGGGAGGCAGCAGUAGGGAAUCUUCCGCAAUGGGCGAAAGCCUGACGGAGCAACGCCGCGUGAGUGAUGAAGGUCUUCGGAUCGUAAAACUCUGUUAUUAGGGAAGAACAAAUGUGUAAGUAACUAUGCACGUCUUGACGGUACCUAAUCAGAAAGCCACGGCUAACUACGUG
rnacentral:rRNA from 1 species